AUUGAACGCUGGCGGCAGGCCUAACACAUGCAAGUCGAACGAGUGGCGGACGGGUGAGUAAUGUCUGGGCACCUGCCUGACGGAGGGGGCUAACUACGGGAAACGGUAGCUACUACCGCAUACCAUAAGUUGUGCCCAGGUGGGUUUAGCUUGUGGGUGGGGUAACGGCUCACCAAGGCGCAGAUGCCUAGCUGGUCGGAGAGGGUGACCAGACACACUGGAACUGAGACACGGUCCAGACUCCUACGGGAGGCAGCAGUGGGGAAUAUUGCACAAUGGGCGCAAGCCUGAUGCAGCCAUGCCGCGUGUAUGAAGAAGGCCUUCGGGUUGUAAAGUACUUUCGGCAGGGAGGCGUUACCCGAAGAGGAAGCAACGGCUAACUCCGUGCCAGCAGCCGCGGUAAUAC
rnacentral:rRNA from 1 species